rnacentral:piRNA from 1 species
UGUCCAUGCUGAUGCAGUCUGCACUCA